GGGAGCGGAUAAGUCCCGGUGGGCUUCGCGGACUUCAAAUCCGUUGGGGGGCAUUAAAAAUGUCUUUGGUGGGUUCGACUCCCAUGCGCUCCCGCCA
rnacentral:tRNA from 1 species